rnacentral:lncRNA from 1 species
AUUACAGUGUUCAAGUGUUGUAUUGUUUUAUGCCUGAUGACCUUAUAAAAUUGCGAACUAUAUUUACUUCAAUAAGUAAACCAAAAGAAUGAUGUAGAAAAGAAAAGGACAUAAAGUUGAGUUGAGAUAAGUAUGUGCCAUGCAAAUUCCGAACAUAUUAAGCCUUAGAUAAUCAACGUCGAAAUCAAGCCAAGAUUUGGACCAUAUCUUAUCACUUACUCUUAACAACCACCCCAUUCGCAUUAUACACUCAAAAAAAUAAAAAUAAAAAAAAUAAAAAGUAAAAAGACAACGACUCCAUUUAGUACCUAUCAAUAAGUUAGCAUAUUGAACUAAUAAUUACAUAUACUUUUAGUGGGAAUGACUAAAAUAAGAGCAUUUCUUAAGAUAUAAAAUAAGAAUCAUUUUCAGCCCUUAGAUCAUCAAGAUCUACGGUUAAUUCGUAAUCCUGUUGGAUGGAUUUAUGGUCCUGAGUUCGAAUCCCAAAGGUUGCAAAAAUUUAUUUUUCACAAUUCA